rnacentral:rRNA from 1 species
AACGAACGCUGGCGGCGCGUCUUAAGCAUGCAAGUCGAACGGCAAGAGAGGAGCUUGCUUCUCUCCUAGAGUGGCGGACUGGUGAGGAACACGUGGGUAAUCUACCCUUAAGAUGGGGAUAGCUGCUAGAAGUAGCAGGUAAUACCGAAUACACUCGGCAUAUCACAAGAGGUGUUGAGGAAAGGAAGCUACGGCUUCGCUUGAGGAUGAGCUUGCGUCCCAUUAGCUAGUUGGUGAGGUAAAGGCCCACCAAGGCGACGAUGGGUAUCCGGCCUGAGAGGGUGAACGGACACAUUGGGACUGAGAUACGGCCCAAACUCCUACGGGAGGCAGCAGCUAAGAAUAUUCCGCAAUGGACGGAAGUCUGACGGAGCGACGCCGCGUGGAUGAAGAAGGCUGAAAAGUUGUAAAAUCCUUUUGUUGAUGAAGAAUAAGGGUGAGAGGGAAUGCUCAUCUGAUGACGGUAAUCGACGAAUAAGCCCCGGCUAAUUACGUG